GACGUAGGAUGCAAGCGUUGUCCGGAUUUAUUGGGCGUAAAGAGUUCGUAGGUGGUUUGUUAAGUUUGGUGUUAAAGAACGGGGCCUAACCCCGGUAGUGCACUGAAUACUGGCAGACUUGAGUGCGGUAGAGGUAAGUGGAAUUCCAAGUGUAGCGGUGAAAUGCAUAGAUAUUUGGAAGAACACCGGUGGCGUAAGCGACUUACUGGGCCGUAACUGACACUGAGGAACGAAAGCCGGGGUAGCGAAUGGGAUUAGAUACCCCAGUAGUCCCGGCUGUAAACGAUGGAUACUAGGCGUUGUGGGUAUCGACCCCCGCAGUGCCGUAGCUAACGCGAUAAGUAUCCCGCCUGAGUAGUACGGCCGCAAGGUUGAA
rnacentral:rRNA from 1 species